GUGACUGCGUACCUUUUGUAUAAUGGGUCAGCGACUUAUAUUCUGUAGCAAGGUUAACCGAAUAGGGGAGCCGAAGGGAAACCGAGUCUUAACUGGGCGUUAAGUUGCAGGGUAUAGACCCGAAACCCGGUGAUCUAGCCAUGGGCAGGUUGAAGGUUGGGUAACACUAACUGGAGGACCGAACCGACUAAUGUUGAAAAAUUAGCGGAUGACUUGUGGCUGGGGGUGAAAGGCCAAUCAAACCGGGAGAUAGCUGGUUCUCCCCGAAAGCUAUU
rnacentral:rRNA from 1 species